CACUCUCUCUCUCUCUCUCUCUCUCUCUCUCUCUCUCAAAAUAAAUAAAUAAGUCAAUUUUUUCCAGUUUAAAAAAAUAACAAAAUACAACCAUUAUAACAAUAUAAUGAAAGUUACGUGAACGUGGUCUCUCUGUCUCUCAAAAUGUCUCGUGCUGCACUCACCCUUCUUCUUCCUCCUGUGAUGCUGUGAGCUGACAAAAUGCCUGUGUCAAUGAUGAGAUAAAGUGAGGCGGGAGACGCAGGCCUUGUGACUUGGCGUCAGGCUACUAUUGACCUGAUGGUGCGCCCGGAGGAUCAUCUGCUUCCGGACCCUGGUUGACCUCGGGUAACCGAAGUCCGUGGGUAAGGGGAGACGACGGUAUAGGCCUGGCACUCAAGGAGAACGUUCGGGAAAGAAGCUGUAGCUAGAAAGGGAUCAGGAUCGUCCCUGCGGCCCACUUUUUGUUUAUUUGCGGAUCACCGCCUGUCCAGCCCUUUAUUUGUAAUGUUUAAAGCAAAUGACAAGGUAGGUAAAUGCCUACAGUUGUUUGUAGAACCCAUCCUUGAAUCUUUUUAAUAUGGGUGUUUAAUCUAUUUGUACGUCCCAUUAAACUACAGCGACCCUCUGACAUAUUGUAUGCUUUCCUGUUACGGUUUUGCGGUUUCUGCCUCCCACUAAAUGGCAAUGUGUUAUUUUCUUUUAUCUUCCACAGUGAUUUGAACAUGAUAUGGCCUGUGUUUUUGUAAUGAAACAAUCAUCGUGAAAGCAGUACACUGCAGACAAAUCAGAAAGAUAAGCACAACGAAAUGAAACAGACCCAGAAUCCCACCUACCCAGAGACGCCCACUGUAAACAUGUUUGUGUAUAUCUUCCCAAAUGUCUUCUAGAAAUGUAAACACAUCUGUAUAUAAACACACAAUAGAAUCCACCAGGGAGUCAUGCUACACAUCCACUCCCGUGACCUACUUGGAUGGACGGAGCACGAAUGCCUUUCCUUAUGAGUAAGUCCCCUCUACUUAAUUUCGAAAAUCCCCUUAUUGUGGCCCUAGUCAGGCUUCAUAUCGAUAUUUUCAAACUGCCCUUCGGAUGUGUUUGUACCGAAUUCACUUCUCCUCAGCGUGAAUAAUUAAUACUGCUUUUGAUGUUUGCUAAUGUGAUAAGAGGGGAAGAAUAACGCGCAUCCUGUUUUCGUUCGUACGAGUGUCAUACCUAGUCAAGCUGAACAUUUGCAUGCUUCCUUAUCCGUUUUCUUUCAGGAUUUAAUGUAUGAUGAAGGUGAUGUUUUGCAACUAGACGGGAAAGGACGGAUUGUUCAGCAAAUGAUGUGGGCACCACUGUUUUCCCAUGAGGAAAAAAGAUGAUUAAACGUUAAAAAACAAGAAAGAACCACAAAUCUACUAGAAGAGACAUCGGCGUGUUUAUGGCAGCUCACCCCUGCUCGGUGGCCCUGGCCUUGAAAGCACACGUCCCUCCGCCCCCCGCUCGUCAUCCUUCUGGUCUGGGCUCAAGCGACACUUCCUCGUGCCGGUGGCUCAUCCUCCUCUCCACCGGGCAAAGGUCACCUGGCGUAUCUCAUGCCUACCUCGCCUUUGCCACAUUUUGGACAUUUGUAAGUUAUCCAAGUAUUUGGAGGGUUUUUGUUUGUUUUGAGAGACAGAGAGUGCACGUGCGAGCGAGCGGGGGAGAGGGGCAGUGGGAGAGAGAGAGUCUUAAGCAGGCUCAGCGUGGAGCCCACCGUGGGGCUCAAUCCCACGACCCUGCAUCCAGACCUGAGCCCAAAUCGAGAGUCGGACGCUCAGCCGACUGAGCCACCCACCCUCCCCCGGAGUGCGAUGCUCUCUUCUCACUUAGACAGGAAGGUGCCUAAGGUGUGAAGGAGCAAACUCUUUCCUUCACUCUUCCCUGCCGGGCAGCCUGCCAAGCAUUUAGCACCUUUCCGGGGCUGCUUCCUCCCAUCUUUUAAAAUGCACGUUAAAUACUUUUUUCAAUACACUUUAAAAUCCCGUUGCCAGUGCGCGCCCGCCGCUACCAGGGACGCUCUUGUUGUGGCUUCUACCUGCAACGCUAGGUCCCUGGGGUCUCUCGCUCACCUCCCCAAAGAGGCUCACUCCCUCUGCCUCCUUUUCUAAGGUUUGCCGGGUGUUUGGGAAUUGACCUAACGGAACGAAAAGGCAAGGGGCAGAGCAUGGCAGGGCCACCGAUGACCGUACUUUGUGAGACCCGAAGGCGCCGCGGGUUGUCACACACGCCCGGAAAUCAGACGUGCUUUCGCGCUGGUGGGGGGAGUACAUCUUCAAAUGGAUGACACAGGACUUGUCUCACUCCAGCCCCCAGGACCUUAGACUUAGUGGAAAUAUUUCCGGAACCGUAGCCAAAGCAAGCCUGCCCAUCUUAGUUUUCAGGGGGACCGUGCAUCUCCAUCGUU